GGACAUCCUUCUAAGGAAACAAGAAUAGUCCUCAGGUUUCUGCCUUCUGCAUAACUGGCUUACCAAGGAAAAAGACGUCACAUGUCAAAGUCUACUGCCCUUAUGAGUGAGAGUGACGAGACUGCGAGCGUUGUUGGUGCCAGGCAGGAGCCGUCCAUCUGGGAGCAGAACAGCUGCUACUAUCACUGAGAUAAGUAUCUGUUUUGCUGAGAGUUCUGCUCACGGCCCACCUGGCUACAGGUAGAGACACCCCGUUAGGUGGGGUGGGUUUGUAAGAAAAGGUUCCUGACUAGCUGUGGUUUUGAGGGAGACACGGUCCCCAUUUUCAGGGGCUGAUGAUUUCUCUGGCCAGGAUCGGUGUGUCCUCGGCAGGAGAAGGUUAGAUCCAUGAGGAUGACUCCAGGUGAGGAAUUGUCCAGGAGCAGCAGCUGAAGGAGAAAGUGGCAGACGCAGACCUGAGGAGCCUGGACAUCCUUCUUAGCAGACAUGAGUGGUCCUCAGAUUUCUGCCUCCCGCACAACUGGCUGUGAGUAAGCGGUCAGUGCUUGGAAUCCCUCAUCUGUAGUGGCUCCGGUUUUGUUCAGAGGCUCUGAAUUUCUUCAUUGGACACAGUGCUCUGUGGGAUUCAGAUGAGGCAAAGGCACAAGUCUCCUGUGCAGAUGCUGGGUUUAGUACCAAGUGGAGAGUCAGAGUCCACUCCGCACAUGCCAUGGAAAGGGAGCGAGAGCUGGGAGGUUCUAAGCAUUGUUGAUGCCAGGGAAGAGCCAUCCAGCUGGGAGUGGAGCAAGGACCACUGUCAGUGAGAUAAGUGUCUUGUUAGGUGAAGGCUCUGCUGUGGUUAUGAGGGAGACAAGGUCCCUAUUUUCAGGGGCUGCUCAGUCCUCUGGCCAGUACCGGUGUGUCCUCUGCAGCGGAAGGUUGGAUUCAGGAGGAUGACUCCAGGUGACAAGUUGCUUGCCUUCCUCCCGUGUUUCUCAUUUUCUCGCUCUCUGUCUCUUUAGUGUGUUGGCCAACGCUCUCUCUUAAUCUGUCCUUUCCUUUCCUUGUGCCAUCUCCCUUCUUAGGACACAGGCAGGCCUGCGAGGUGUGCAUCUCCACAGGUUAGGUCUUGAAAGCCCUGGAGUAGUAGGAGGGGACGAAAACCAUGCGGGGUAGUGGGUGCGAGAGUGGAGCAGUGACUGUCAGUAUUGAAGCGGUCUCUGUUGAAGUGGGGCUGAUGUAGAUGUGGUGGAAGAGGGAGGCAGGAUUGAGGGCAACAUUUCAAGCACCAUUAGAGCUGUGUGUAGAGAUGGCGCAUGCUUGGCUUUUACAGCUGCACUUCCAGAGGAAUUGUCCAGGAGCUCAAGCCGGAGGAGAAACUGGCAGAGGUGGAUCUGAGCAGCUUGGACAUGGUUCUAACCAGACAGGAACAGUCCUCAGCUUUCUGCCUUCUGAACAACUGGCUGUGAGUAAGAGGUCAGUGCUUUCAAUUCCUUAUCUGUACUCGCUGUAGUUUACUUCACAGGCCUUGUGCUUCCUCGCUGGGUACAGGACACUAUGGUAUUAAGGCUGGGGAAGGGACAAGAGUCUCCUGAGCAAAGUGACUAUUUUGGGUGCAGUUACAAUGGAUCCCUUCUAGUUGCAGAUGUAAAGUAGUAAUAGGAGAUGGUUUGAUGGCGGAGCCGUGGGAGAUGUGAGAUGAAGAGACUACGUGACAUUGCAGAUGGAGAUGCUAAUUUGUUUGUUUUUUCUCUCCUCUGCUGGGUUUCAUACCAAGGAAAAAUAAGUCACAUGUCAGUCUACUGCCCUCAUGCAAUAGAAAGUGAGUGAGAGCAGCGAGCCUGUGAACAUUGUUCAUGCCAGGCAAGAGCCGUUCAUUUGGGAGCCAAGCAGAUGCCACUGUCAGUGAGAAGUGUCUGUUUUGCUGAGGGUUCUGUUAAUAGCCCAUCUGACUCCAGGUACAGACACCCUGUUAGCUGGGGCUGGUUUGUCAGAAGAGUUUCCUGACUAGCUGGGGAUACAAGGGAGACAAGGUCCCCAUUUUCAGGGGCUUGUCAUUGCUCUGUUCACAAGCAGUGUGUCCUCCGCAGGAGAAGGUUGGAUCCAGGAGGAUGACUCCAGAUGGUGAGUUACUUGCCUUUC